CGCUAGGAGCUGUCCGCGGUGCUGAAGGCUGGGCUGCUUCUCCUUCCAAUGUGCUGCCAGCUCGCGCACACGCAAUCCGCUUACCGAGCGUCCAAAUUAAACGAGGACCUCCGCGUUUCACUUGAUCGUUGUCGGCUGUCAUCACACGGCCAAUCCAACACGGAAGUCAAGCAGCAACGCGUCCAGGAUUCAACUUUGCUUUUUUUUUUCUUUCUUUUUUUUUUUUUUACACCCAAUCGUCUCGACUUGCUUUUAUUCCCCCCCUCGUUCCGCCGCCGCUCUCCUCCGACACAAGGACGUUAUUGUGCAGCUCGGCGACCUCCACUUUAGAAGAGAUGAAGUGCGUGAGACGAGAUUGCACGUUGAAGAGCAUGCUGUCGCUUUGGCUUCUCGCGGCCGCCGCGGCCACCAUCCACGGCCGAGGUCCAAAGGAGACUGACGGCAUUAGGAGGAGGACUUCAGAUAUAAACAAGGGUCACAUCACACACCCCUCCACAGAAGACAGAGAAGGUGAAGUCCCCUCGGUCACCACCGCAUCACCCAUUAACAGCCCGGACCACCGUCCUGUCCUUAAGGGCUUGAUGCUUCACGAGCACCUUCUCUUGAGGGACUUUCAGGGAGACCAGCACUUUUUCAGGAGCGAUGGCUCCGUGGCGGCGCAUCCCACCAUGCCAGGCUCCGCCCCCGAUGCGGUGCAUCCCGUCACUCAAACGAUUCCCCACGAGGAUGCUCCAGCCUUCUCAGAUGUCGCCUCAACGGCCACUGCAGCUGCCACAUCUCCACUUACCACAUUCUCCUCAACAACGCCCAAACCUCUCAUGUCUCUUCUGCAGAAGUCCUCGGAGGACAAGACCAGAAAAGGGGAUGAGCAAAAGCCAACCACUCACUCCCUGACCACACAAGUAACACCAAAGAAGGACAAGACACCCGUGGCUUCCUUAUCGUGGCAGAGAGAUGAGCCUCAACCUUGGAGUGCUUUUUCUGGAGAUGCAACUCUUGCACCCUUCACGAUGAGGAUGGACAAAGGCCAGGCAAGGGAAACGACUCCAAAGGACAAAACCAAGCUCGAGCAGCCACUCCCAGAACUAACGUCAUCAUCCGGAACAGAGGGUGGCGCCACGACGUCGACUUCUGUCAUCACAACCACGACGAUAACCACCAUGCAAGCAUCUGAGCCCUGCAGCCUAAAUUUCACUGACCCCGAGGGCAACAUCGAAAUCCUGCAGCAGCUUGACACUGCAAUGGAGUGCAGCUACUUGAUCACGGUCUACCUGGGGUAUGGCAUCGAGGUUCAGGUCCUGAAUGCGAGUAUGUCCGAGGGGGAACAAGUGACAGUGGAGGACACGGGCGGCCGAGAAGCGUUCCUUCUCGCCAACGAGUCGGUCCUCAUGCGUGGGCUUGUGCUACGUAGUCGGAGCAACCAGAUAUCCGUCCGUUUUCGUAGCGACCAGCAGCGCAACUCCGGAGCCCUCCGGCUCCAUUACCAAGCCUUUGUGCUGAGCUGUUCGUUCCCCAAAGAGCCCACGGGUGGAGAAGUUUCGGUGACUCACCUCUACGCUGGCGGAGAAGCUUACUUCAACUGCUUCACUGGCUACAGGUUGAAAGGUCCCAAAACGCUCACCUGCCGUAACGCCACCACACCGUACUGGAGUGGGAAGGAGCCCCAGUGUGUGGCGUCCUGUGGGGGAAUGAUAAAAAAUGCCACCUAUGGCCGCAUUGUCUCGCCUGGAUUUCCUGGCAACUACAGCAACAACCUGACAUGCCACUGGGUCCUGGAGGCCCCUGAAGACCACCGGCUGCAUAUUCACUUCGAGAAGGUGGCUCUGGCAGAGGAUGAUGACAGGCUGUUGAUUAAAAAUGGCAACAAUAUCGACUCCCCCCCGGUGUAUGACUCCUACGAGGUGGAGUAUCUGCCCAUCGAGGGGGUGCUGAGCACAGGGCGUUAUCUCUUUGUGGAGUUUACCACAGACGGGACGCUCACCUCCACCGGCGCCGCCAUCAGAUAUGAAGCUUUUGCAAAAGGAACGUGCUACGAGCCGUUUGUGAAGUACGGCAAUUUCAGCAGCAGUGACUCAACCCACAGCGUGGGCGCCGUGGUGGAGUUCUCGUGUGACCCCGGCUACACGAUGGAGCAAGGCUCCGUUGUCAUCGAGUGUGUGGACGCCGAAAACGCUCAGUGGAACGAGACGGAGCCGGCCUGCAGGGCUGUUUGCAGCGGGGAGAUCACCGACUCUGCCGGCGUGGUGUUGUCUCCUAACUGGCCCGAGGCCUACGAUAAGGGCCAGGACUGCAUCUGGGGCGUCCACGUGGAAGAGGACAAGAGGAUCAUGCUGGACGUCCAAGUACUAAACCUGGGCAAAAACGACCUCCUGACGUUCUACGACGGCGAUGACCUGUCUGCCAACAUCCUGGGCCAAUACAGCGGCAAGCGCCCUCACUUCAAGCUCUACACGUCCAUGGCUGACGUCACCGUUCAGUUCCAGUCAGAUCCCGCCACGAACAUCUACGGCUACAACAACGGCUUCGUGGUGCACUUUUUUGAGGUCCCAAGGAACGACACCUGCUCUGAGCUGCCAGAGAUCACCAACGGCUGGAAGAGCACGUCCCACCCAGACCUCAUCCACGGCACCGUGGUCACCUACCAGUGCUACCCUGGAUAUGAGCUGGCAGGCUCCGAGAUCCUCAUGUGCCAGUGGGAUCUCAGUUGGAGCGGCGAUGUGCCCAAAUGUCAGCAAGUGAUGACAUGCCAGGACCCUGGAAACGUGGAGCACAGUCGGCGAGUGGUGACGGGCACCCGCUUCGCCGUGGGAUCGUCCGUGCAGUUUGUCUGUAAUAAAGGCUACAUUCUGUCAGGCAGCAACAACCUCCUCACCUGCUACAACAGAGACUCAGCCAAACCCAAGUGGAGCGAUCGGCUGCCCAAGUGUGUUCCUGAAAAGUACGAGCCGUGCAGGAAUCCCGGCGCUCCCUCCACCAGUGCACAAAGUUCUGAAAAGGCUUUCUACCAAGCAGGCGAGACCCUGACCUUCUCCUGCCACCCAGGCUAUGAGCUUCAGGGCACGGCCACCAUCUACUGCAUCCCUGGACAUCCGUCACAGUGGAACAGCACGCCGCCCGCUUGUCGAGCCUCCUCCAGUCAAUACGUGAAUGAACGCAGGUUGGACGUUGUCAAUACAGAUUACAGCACUGAGGGAACCAACAUCGCCCUCGCUGUCUUCAUUCCAACCGCAGUCAUUUUGGCGGGUGUGCUCGGGAUUUAUGUCUGUGCUGCAAAAUUCCAAGGGAAGUCCAUCAGAAUGCCGACACCCUCGCCGCCGUAUGACAACAUGGCGGAGGAGUCGGCCUUCGAUAACCCAGUUUAUGACAGAGGAGUAAGUACGGAUGUGAUGAGCAUGCAAGACGUGGACUCACAAAACACCAGCGUGCUGUCCUGAACCUCCCUCCCUGCGUCUGGGGUGGGCUGUCUCGUCUCCAUCCCAUGUUUCACCAGAAGAGGGCGCCCGCACCUCAUCUUCCCAUCACCACCGCCAUCAGCAGCAAAGCAUACAACAGUGGCAGACACAUUGUAGAUACUAAACCCCGUCACUAUGUCCAUUUUGGCUCCGCUUCGUAACAACAAUGAGGUGAGAUCUUCGCCCGUUGCCGAGAGCGCAUCUCACACACUGUCACCUGAGCCUCCAGACCGUCCUAUUGACCACCUCUUCCUACCUGUCACACCCUUUUAUGACCUCUGGAGGGGAAAACUUGACACUGGCUUCACUUUUGAAAUGUAUUUGUGGCAUCAUGUCUCCCUUCAGAGAAACAUGAGGAAUCCUGCACAUAACACACUGGAAAGCUGAUACAUACUAAUCUAACAUACGCAUUAGCAAACACAUGCAGUAUUAUAUUGCAUAGACGACACGUAACACAAAAGGAGCCAUAAGAGGAUCCAGUCAAGCUCUUUUUGACCCCAACUGCUGAUGUACCUAAUGAAAUGGCAGCAGAGUGUUUACUUUAACUGCUGUGUAUCACAAUCAAGCACAACUAAACACAGUGGAACUUUGGUUAGCGUACGCCCUGGUUAGCGUAUUUUCAGGAUUGCCUUGAAAAUAUACACAAAAUUUUGGCCUGGGUUUCCAUUCAUUUUUCGGUCUUGUCGUGUUAUUAAUACAUAUUUUUACCACAAAACAUCCUCGUUUGCGGCCUAUUAGCUUGCUGAUAGAGUGGAAGCUCAGUUAGCAUACACCUCGGUUUGCCUCAGUUUGUGUCAAAAAUGUCCACCAAAAUUUAGCGUGAGUCCACAUACAUUUUUCUGUUUUGCAUGCAAUGUGGCGCGCAUUGUUGUGUGAUAUUAAUUCUUUCAAUGCCAAAGACGUCAAUAGACGCGGGAGCUACAGAUCAAAGUCUUAUUCAUCUUGUGUGUCAAUUUCUGACUAGUAGGCUAAGUAUUUCUGUCCCAAUAGGGGGCAACAGUUCUCUUCUGCUCCAACCGGCAGCGACAGAUUGUCUAUGAAUAAGACGGAUUGUGGGUUGAGAGAGGAAAAUGGCAAAACACAAGAAAUCGAGCAGAGACAAAACUGACAGAUGGCUAACACUGCACAGAGCUUGUCUGGCGGUGGAUCUGCCUUUAGUAGAGACGCGAUCGCACAAGAUAGAGGUGACAUGGGUGAUGUAGGUGACGUAGACACCAAUGCAGUUGACAACGGCAGCCGAAGCAACAAGCUAGUGGUUAGCGUUGCUGAGCCGUGUGGUGCGACACCGGAGCCUGACACCGGAAGCAGUUCAGAGUCAGGUGACUCAGAACCCGACCCUGAUUCUUCUGACGAGUUGCUGCCCUCUGGAUCGGUCAGCAGCAGGGAUCCAGCAGACCCCACCGUCACUCUGCUCGAAUUUGCUUUUCUGCAGAAAAGCUUGUUUUCUCAGUUUUUUUGGUGAAAAUCUGGUGUUUUUGCUGAAACUACCCUAUGUUCUACCACCAAUAUCUAAAGACCCAAAAAGGCUAGAAACAAACUAAUUUUCCUGAUGAAAGAAGAGAAUCUAAAGUUUCUUUAGAUACUUUCAAUGUUUAUGUAGUCGUAAAACUCAAUAUUCUGUGGGUCUUGAAAGUUCAGCCCAAAAGCUGUGGCGGUAUGGAGCUCUGCGCUCUGAACGGGUUGGCAGUCAAUGGGUUAAUAUGCUGCGUGAAUCCAGCUGCGUUUUUAAUGAGUAUUUACUGUAUCAUAAAACGUCCUUGUUAGCAGCCUAUUAGCUUGCUAAUACAGAAGAAGCUCGGUUAGCAUACGUCCCAGUUAGCACGUUUUUCGGUUUGUGUCGAAAAUUUACACAAAAAUUUUGCGCACGUCUUGUGUUAUUAAUACACUGUAUAAGCCCCACUGUGAUUUUAAUGUAUUUUUAUCAUAAAACGUCUUUGUUAGCAGCCUAUUUGCUUGCAUGGAAACAGGAAGCGGACGUCUAUGAUGUCAUCAGCGGUUGUAGUUCUUGGCUAGCUAACACAGUUAGCCACAAGUCUCUGUUUUUCUUUUGGGUUAGUGUUAGGCUGUAAAAUUAGCCACGAUGGUGCCAAAGUAAGUUGCAAGUGCAUUUAUAUGCAUUUCCAAUCCUUCUUCUGCAUGCAAAAGUAUAAUUAUCAAACUGUAAAAACGUGUUUUGUGUUUUCUGGAACGGAUGAAUUGCACGUACGUGAUUGGGAAUUGUGGGAAACAAUGACUGGAUUAGCCUACCUUUCGGUUGGAGUUGGGCGCUAAGCGAGGUUCCACUCUACCUAGCUGCUAACACCUGCAAUCAUGUCUAACGAUACUAUUUGUAUGCUGCACAAAUGUAUGACACGUUCUCCCAACCUGCAGAGAUCUUCACUAGGAUCUUCUAUUCUCUGUAUAUUUUCAUGUUGUUAGCGGGAGAUGAAAUGUGCAUUGUUUCUUUAUUGAGUUACAGUGUUCCCCCGCUCCAUCGCGGUUCACAUUUUGUGGACUUGCUGUUUCGCAGAUUUUUUUUGUGCUUUUUAAAAAAAAAAGUAUAGCGUAUGAAUGGUGGCCCUUUAAAAAGAAUUGCAUUGUGGGAAGUUGAGUGUUGUAGUUCUGUGCUUUAGCACGAGGCGGCGUUGUCUCUCUAGUUUCUCUCUUCUGUAUGCACCACCCAUUGUCUUCUGCGUCCUGAUUGGCUGUAGACCAUGGUCAGUCAACCUCCUUCAUGCUAUCUCCUGUUGUGGUCAUGGCUAGCAAACUAGCUAAUCGUGUGAGCUGCUCGCUAGCCACCAGUAAAAAAUAGUGUCGACGAAACGUUCUGCACCCAAAAGGCAGAGGAAGAUGCUAACCAUCACACAUAAAUUUGUACUUCAGGACAUGCUGAAGGAAAGCAGAAAGAGGAAAAUACGACGACAGGAGCAAUAUGUUUUAACAAGGAUACAAUACGCUGCAGUACAGCAGAACAGCGCCAGGACGAAAUUCAUGUGCAUCACUUAAUCCUGUCUUGUGUCCAGCCUAGUAGGUUGAUCAUUAAAAUUCAAACGAACUUUGAACUUGGAGUGUUUAAACAAGAGAGAAAUGUGAGAAAAUGUUAAUGCCUGUCUGAGAAAAGUGUAUCAAGUGUAUGGUGGGGGUCUUUACAGCCUUAAAACAUAUACAGUAUAAUCCUUGUAAGAAAUAAAGUUGGCUACUUUGCGGAUUUCGCUUAUUGCGGGCUAUUUUGGGAACCUAUCCCCCGCGAUGAAGGAGGGAACACUGUAUAGUGGUGACAAAAUGAAUCUUGGGUACCAUUUGGUCACACCCUGACAGGAGUAUCCGGUUCACAUCACAAUUUCUGUGGCACAGAUAAUAUUGAUGAAGUACAGGGAUUUGGGAAAUCCAAUUAGGUUCAUUACUCUCAUGUCCCCCGCCGUCACGCUCGUUAUGUUGCAUGGGAAGCGCCUUGAACGCCUUCUGUUUUGUUUCACACACGCACCAGCUGCAAGAAGCUAGGCUACAGUUCCAGCAUGUGACCCAAUGAAGUGAACUACAACAGAUAUCUAAAAAUCAUGUGGUUAAACGCGGGGUCUGGUCAACUUCCUGGCUACAGCUGGUGAACGUCAGGUGGUUUGUCUUUGAAAAAGUACACAGCCUUACGUCAGGCGGAUAGUGGAGUUGGAGUUGGCCAUCGUAUUCACAGUCUUUGCUGCUUCAAUGUCGGGAUAAGAUGGACGUGAUUGAUUGUUUUGCUUACCUGACUGUUUGGAAGAAGUCCAAAACAGGACACUCUGCACACCGUGAACCCGGAGGUGUUUCAUCCUGUGAGCAAAACUAGCGAGUGGCGUCGCAUACAGUCGAAGGUUGAAAUGGAUGAACACAAACGCUUCCUGAUGCUUCUUCUUCGUUGGUGUUUUUGCCGGAUGGUGGGCUGGUCGAUCGCCGAACGCAGGCAUGGAAAUUUAAAAAAAUAAACGAUUCAGGGAGAAUCGGAAUGGUUGUCCCGGUUCCCAUCGAUGCUCGAUGCCCAACCCGAGUUAUCGCUGUCGUACAUUUUUGCUUUUAUUUUAUUUGCCUCCAUGUUUUUACGUUCCCACUUCCAAUUUUGACUCGCUUGUCGGGUCCUUAGGUUCUCAGGUUGGGAGAAGGUGUCACGUCUACUUAAGUCUGUUGAUCUGAUUUUGUCAGCUGCCCUUUGACUGCUUUGUGUGUCUGGUCUUUACAGGACAAAUGAGAAAAAGAUAAAGAGCUGUGAAUUUAGAGCCCUUGAAUUGCUCAAGCUUUGCCUUUGGGGACCUUCCUCUGCACUGCUCAUCUUUCCCUUCAAGUAUUGUGUAAAUACUUUACGGCUUUCCCAGGUCAACUCUGUGAAUUUGUGGAUCACCAUGGUGAUAUUUUUAUAAACUAAAUUGCUGACGACCCAAGGUGAUUACAUAAAAUUUGUGUAUUUUUGAUGCCCUUACUCAGUCACUGCUCGACCUUGAGGGGAAAGGGGCUUUCUUUGAAAACCCUUUCGAUACAAUUUCCCCAUCCCGUCCUUCCACUUUCGUCAUUCAUUUGCCACCAUGACUGUAUUUUGUUUGUGUGUAUGGAUCUGCUUUUUGUAAAUAAACUGCCUGUCCAAUACAGUACACGUGUCUCCUGACCUGACUGAUACUAGCCUGACAAAUCAGCGUGAAAUAUCAAAGCACUGAGCCGUUAUUUAUUAUCUGGUGUGCUGACAUUGUCGCUACUCUUUACCUGCAUAUCAGACCAUGCAACAAGAAUAAAAGAUACGGCCCUGGAGCACUUCAAAUCUUACACAUCUACCACAAUGUUAGGCACGCCUGUACGAGCUAAUGAAAUAUUUCACUUCACUUAUUUCAUUCAACUGCACACCAAACGGAGCUGAUCAUAUUUUCUAAACUGACCCAUCAUCAUGAAAUUGUAUUGAAAGAAAAUGGGUUAUUAACUUAUCCAAUACUAUUUAGAUUUACAUUUCCUGAUUUGCCAGCCUCCGAUUCGAUUUAAGGUGGAAUUACACUAAGUGUUACUCUCGGUGUCUGCUCCUUGUCAAAGCAUUUUAGGUAAGACGUUACUUGCCUGACACACACUAUUGUAUUUGUCAAACUUGUAUUUUAUAUGUGAAAAUGCAACUCAGGCACGUUUGUCUGUUUUUUCGGCCUCUACUUCUCCAAUCAGGACUAGAUGAGGCCACAGACCCUGAAAGUUCAUAAAACGCAGUUUCUGAUUUGCGAAAGCUUUAUUCUAUUUGUGAAAAUGCAAUAAAGGCACAUGUCUGUUUUUUCAGCAUCUAGCCCACAUUAGACCUGGUCCAGAUUGAAAACCAGUGAACCUAAACUUCUCCAAUCCGAACUAGAUGAGGUCACAGACCCUGAAAGUUCAUAAAAACACAGUUUCUGAUUUGUGAAACCUUUAUUCUAUUUCUGAAAGUGCAAUAAAGGCACUUUUCCGUGUUUCUUCAGCCUCUAGACCACAUCAGACUAGACCUGGUCCGGUUUGACAACCACUGGUCUUACGUGAAAUGCUUUCCCAAUAAGAAGCGUCACAAAAAACAGACAAUCCGAACAAACGGCAGCACCGCACAAUAGGUUCAUUCCACCUUAAAUGUCCCUUGUGGCGGACGGGAAGCUGGCGAAUGAGAAGCGUGGUCUCACAGCGUGCUUCGAGGUGUACACUGAAGUCACACGAAGAAGAAGAAGAAGAAUCAUAGAUCCCAAUCUUACUGUUUUUCAGGUCAUGGAGGUGCCUGUGAUAUUGAAACAUUUGCAUAUAAUGUGUGUACUCAUCAUUGACAGCAGACGCUAUCACACGCUGGAAUGUGAUUUUCAUCCGAGCAUCCACGUGAGAUGUCACGUGAUGCCCUCUGUUAUCUCUGUACUUUAAGACAACUCUAUGAAAGGUUCUGUCACCUUAAACAAAUAAAGAUUUCAGCUUUAUCUGAUAUGCACAGGUGUUUCCUGUGUGUAUGUGUGGACUCGUCUUUGAAAUGUGUGUUAUAUUCAU